rnacentral:rRNA from 1 species
CCUACGGGUGGCAGCAGUGAGGAAUAUUGGUCAAUGGGCGGAAGCCUGAACCAGCCAAGUCGCGUGAGGGAUUAAGGCCCUGCGGGUCGUAAACCUCUUUUGCCGGGGAGCAGGGGUUCGGACGUGUCCGGGCCGGGAGAGUACCCGGAGAAAAAGCAUCGGCUAACGCCGUGCCAGCAGCCGCGGUAAUACGGGGGAUGCGAGCGUUAUCCGGAUUUAUUGGGUUUAAAGGGUGCGUAGGCGGGCAUUAAAGCCGGCGGUCAAAUGUCGGGGCUCAACCCCGGCCUGCCGUCGGAACUGGGUGCCUUGAGUGGGCGAGAAGUAUGCGGAAUGCGUGGUGUAGCGGUGAAAUGCAUAGAUAUCACGCAGAACCCCGAUUGCGAAGGCAGCAUACCGGCGCCCUACUGACGCUGAGGCACGAAAGUGCGGGUAUCGAACAGGAUUAGAUACCCCAGUAGUC